ACGCAGUUAAUGAGCAGGAAAACGGCGAACCAAAUGUUGGAGGGCGAGAAGUGCGUGGGCUUGGGACACCUCCUGCCUCAGCUCAACACCCUCAAGACCCGCAUCGAGCAACAGAAGUCCAAGCUAGAAAUCCGUGGUCCCCUAGCUACUGCUGAAUGGGUUGGAGACCAGAUUUGCUGAUGCCUAUAAGGACCAAGACACCCUGCUUGCAACUGUGUCGAACCCAAGGUGCAAGUUGAUGUGGACUGGGGACCAAACCCUGCAUGAGAAAUGCAGAUCCCUCUUG